rnacentral:rRNA from 1 species
CCUACGUGUGGCAGCAGUGAGGAAUAUUGGUCAAUGGCCGGAAGACUGAACCAGCCAUGCAGCGUGAAGGUCAGUGCCCUAUGGGCGUUAAACUUCUUUUGUGCGGGAGCAAUAAUGGUCACGUGUGGCCAGACGAGAGUACCGUACGAAUAAGCAUCGGCUAACUCCGGGCCAGCAGCCGGGGUAAUACGGGGAAGGCACGCGUUAUCCGGAUUUAUUGGGGUUAAAGGGUGCGUAGGGUGUGAGGUAAGUCAGCGGUGAAAAGCCCCCGGUCAACGGGGUGAAGUGCAAUUGAUACUGGCGUGCUGGAAUGCGGAUGACGUGGGAGGAAGGUGUGGUGUAGCGGUGAAAUGCAUAGAUAUCACACAGAACACCGAUUGCGAAGGCAUCUCACGAAUCCGCGAUUGACGCUGAUGCACGAAAGCGUGGGUAUCAAACAGGAUUAGAUACCCUUGUAGUC